rnacentral:rRNA from 1 species
CCUACGGGAGACUGCAGUGAGGAAUAUUGGUCAAUGGGCGCGAGCCUGAACCAGCCAAGUAGCGUGAAGGAUGACUGCCCUACGGGUUGUAAACUUCUUUUAUGAAGGAAUAAAGUGAGGCACGUGUGCCUUUUUGUAUGUACGUUAUGAAUAAGGAUAGGCUAACUCCGUGCCAGCAGCCGCGGUAAUACGGAGGUUCCGAGCGUUAUCCGGAUUGAUUGGGUUUAAAGGGAGCGUAGAGGGGUUGUUAAGUCAGUUGUGAAAGUUUGCGGCUCAACCGUAAAAUUGCAAUUGAUACUGGCAGCCUUGAGUCCAGUUGAGGUAGGCGGAAUUCGUGGUGUAGCGGU